UAAGGAAUAUUGGUCAAUGGACGCAAGUCUGAACCAGUCAUGCCGCGUGAAGGAUGAAGGUCCUCUGGAUUGUAAACUUCUUUUAUCUGGGACGAAAACGGGAUUUUUAUCUCAAUUGACGGUACCAGAGGAAUAAGCACCGGCUAACUCCGUGCCAGCAGCCGCGGUAAUACGGAGGGUGCGAGCGUUAUCCGGAUUUACUGGGUUUAAAGGGUGCGUAGGUGGGCUUAUAAGUCAGUGGUGAAAUCUCCGAGCUUAACUUGGAAACUGCCGUUGAUACUAUAGGUCUUGAAUUAUCUGGAGGUAAGCGGAAUAUGUCAUGUAGCGGUGAAAUGCUUAGAUAUGACAUAGAACACCAAUUGCGAAGGCAGCUUACUACAUAUAAAUUGACGCUGAGGCACGAAAGCGUGGGGAUCAAACA
rnacentral:rRNA from 1 species